UACGUAGGGUGCGAGCGUUGUCCGGAAUUAUUGGGCGUAAAGGGCUCGUAGGCGGUUUGUCGCGUCGGGAGUGAAAACCUCGGGCUUAACUCGGGGCUUGCUUUCGAUACGGGCAGACUGGAGGUAUGCAGGGGAGAACGGAAUUCCUGGUGUAGCGGUGAAAUGCGCAGAUAUCAGGAGGAACACCGGUGGCGAAGGCGGGUCUCUGGGCCGAUACUGACGCUGAGGAGCGAAAGCGUGGGGAGCGAACGGG
rnacentral:rRNA from 1 species